rnacentral:rRNA from 1 species
UACGUAGGCAGCGAGCGUUGUUCGGAUUCAUUGGGCGUAAAGGGUGCGUAGGCGGCGCGGUAAGUCGGGUGUGAAAUCUCGGAGCUUAACUCCGAAACUGCAUUCGAUACUGCCGUGCUUGAGGACUGGAGAGGAGACUGGAAUUUACGGUGUAGCGGUGAAAUGCGUAGAUAUCGUAAGGAAGACCAGUGGCGAAGGCGGGUCUCUGGACAGUUCCUGACGCUGAGGCGCGAAGGCCAGGGGAGCAAACGGG